UAUUUUUCAUAAAUAAAAUCAGUUUUGAAUUUGGGGCUUACGUCAAGAAACAAAAAUUAUAUUCAAGGUUUGAUGAUUCUGAUAAUAAACAUCCGUAAUGCGAAUGUACAUAAGCUGAUAAUAGUUGCAAAUGUAUUUCGCACAGCUGUGCAAAUCGUAUAUAAACUGAGCAAAAUUCCUCUAAAUGUUGACUACAAUAAUUUUAACAAGAUGCGCUUCAUACUUGUAUUGGUUCUUGUAGCUUUGAGCUUCGUGAGUACUGCUCCAACAAGAAAUAAUCUCAAAGACGAUUUGAGAAAAGCUGCUGAAGAAACGGAUUCACUUAUCCGCCGUCAAAAUUUAAGAAGCGUAAUACAACUUUGCCAAAAAGUUAUUGACAGUCAGCGUAUAAAGCAAAAAUAUAUUGCAAAGUGGCAAACAUUUCAUGAUAAGCUGUCUUACUGGAAUGAAACUUGGGCUGAAAAUGGCCAAAAUUUAGGCUUCGUUGAUAAUGAAGCUCAUGACCUUGAGCCAAAACGUGAACUAAACUAUUAUUCAAAUGGUGCCUUCGACGUCAUCGCGUCUGAAAACGAGGAAUUAAAAAUACCAAUUUAUACUGAAUUUGCAACUAAAGCCAAUGAAAUUAUUCGCGUGUAUAGGGAAGCUGGGUAUACUAAUAAAGAUAUCGAUUUAUAUUUUAACAA